AAUGGGCGCAAGCCUGACGGAGCAACGCCGCGUGAGGGAUGAAGGCCUCUGGGCUGUAAACCUCUUUUUUCAAGGAAGAAGAACUGACGGUACUUGAGGAAUAAGCCACGGCUAAUUCCGUGCCAGCAGCCGCGGUAAUACGGGAGUGGCAAGCGUUAUCCGGAAUUAUUGGGCGUAAAGCGUCCGCAGGCGGUCUUGAAAGUCUGUUGUUAAAGCGUGGAGCUCAACUCCAUUUCAGCAAUGGAAACUAGAAGACUAGAGUGUGGUAGGGGCAGAGGGAAUUCCCGGUGUAGCGGUGAAAUGCGUAGAUAUCGGGAAGAACACCAGUGGCGAAGGCGCUCUGCUGGGCCAUAACUGACGCUCAUGGACGAAAGCCAGGGGAGCGAAAGGGAUUAGAUACCCCCAGUAAUCAAAGAUUAGAUACCCCAGUAGUC
rnacentral:rRNA from 1 species